GUAGUCAUAUGCUUGUCUCAAAGAUUAAGCCAUGCAUGUCUAAGUAUAAAUGGAUUAUACAGUGAAACUGCGAAUGGCUCAUUAAAUCAGUUAUAGUUUAUUUGAUAAUAUCUCUUACUUGGAUAACCGUAAUAAUUUUAGAGCUAAUACAUGCGUAAAAGUGCGACUUUACGGAAGCACUGUAUUUAUUAGAUACAAAACCAUCCAGCUUCGGCUGUUACCUUGGUGAUUCAUAAUAACUUAACGAAUCGUAUGACUUUAUGUCGACGAUGAUUCAUUCAAAUUUCUGCCCUAUCAACUUUCGAUGGUAAGGUAUUGGCUUACCAUGGUUACAACGGGUGACGGAGAAUUAGGGUUCGAUUCCGGAGAGGGAGCCUGAGAAACGGCUACCACUUCUACGGAGGGCAGCAGGCGCGCAAAUUACCCAAUCCUGACUCAGGGAGGUAGUGACGAAUAAUAACGAUACGUGACUUCGGUCUAGUAAUUGGAAUGAGUACAAUUUAAACCCCUUAAUGAAAGCCAUUGGAGGGCAAGUCUGGUA
rnacentral:rRNA from 1 species